UACAGAGGAUGCAAGCGUUAUCCGGAAUGAUUGGGCGUAAAGCGUCUGUAGGUGGCUUUUUAAGUCCGCCGUCAAAUCCCAGGGCUCAACUCUGGACAGGCGGUGGAAACUACCAAGCUGGAGUACGGUAGGGGCAGAGGGAAUUUCCGGUGUAGCGGUGAAAUGCGCAGAUAUCAGGAGGAACACCGGUGGCGAAGGCGGUCGCUGGGCCGAUGACUGACGCUGAGGAGCGAAAGCGUGGGGAGCAAACAGG
rnacentral:rRNA from 1 species